AUUCUUCUGAAGUUCCUAAGUGUGAGACUGGGUUUUCAUGCACAUGUGUGAGAUGUGCCUCC
rnacentral:snoRNA from 1 species